UACGGAGGGUGCGAGCGUUAAUCGGAAUAACUGGGCGUAAAGGGUUCGCAGGCGGAAAUGCAAGUCAGAUGUAAAAGGCAGUAGCUUAACUACUGUAAGCAUUUGAAACUGCAUAUCUUGAGAAGAGUAGAGGUAAGUGGAAUUCCUAGUGUAGCGGUGAAAUGCGCAGAUAUUAGGAGGAAUACCAGUGGCGAAGGCGACUUUCUGGCAAUCAUCAGACGCUGAGGUACGAAAGCGUGGGUAGCAAACAGG
rnacentral:rRNA from 1 species